GUGCCCUCCUUCAACUGGACGCAGGGAGGCGGUGGGUGGGGCAGGGGCCAGAAAACAAGUCAACUUCUAACUUCCCCUUCACCACGGGCGGCAUGUUUCUCACGUCCGUCUUCAUUGGCUCACCCACCAGAGCCAACUGAUAGCCAGACUACGAAACGACAGUCAGGUCCAGCAGCUGAGGCGAGGCGGAGCUCCACGCAGACCCACUCUGUUUCCAUCCAGCCAAUCAGCGCCAGCAUCCAUUGGUCACGUGGUCAUCGUGCACAUGCGCACACGAGAGAACGCCUCAUUCAGGUCCUGGCGUGGCGGAGGAGCCGGGCCAUAGUUUCUUGCUGCGUGUUGAAACUCUUCUCCAGUUGUACUCUCGCGGGUAAUUUCCCUGCGAAUAGCCCCACCAGGUUCCCCAGGAUGGAGAUGAAUUCCAGAGAUGAAUUUUGCUGUAUUCAACACAGCACAUUGCAUUUAAAAUGGAAGAGCCAAGAAGAAACCACCAGUCACUGGUCUGGGGAACAUAGACGGCCAGCCAUACAUGGUACUCGGGAAGCAGGGGGUGUCAGGGGGCUUCUUGGCAGUUCUGCUUAUAAUCAGAUGAUCUUGAAGAGAAGUGGAAAAGGAAGAACCAGGGCCAGUUGAACACAGGGAAUUUUCUACAGAAUAUCAGAUUCUCUUCCCUUGGACCCUGGAUUUUAGAACAUAAAAGCUG
rnacentral:lncRNA from 1 species